rnacentral:rRNA from 1 species
AGCGAACGCUGGCGGCAGGCUUAACACAUGCAAGUCGAACGCCCCGCAAGGGGAGUGGCAGACGGGCGAGUAACACGUGGGAACGUACCCUUUAGUUCGGAAUAACUUGGGGAAACUCAAGCUAAUACCGGAUAAGCCCUUAUGGGGAAAGGUUUACUGCCGAAGGAUCGGCCCGCGUCUGAUUAGCUAGUUGGUGAGGUAAUGGCUCACCAAGGCGACGAUCAGUAGCUGGUCUGAGAGGAUGAUCAGCCACACUGGGACUGAGACACGGCCCAGACUCCUACGGGAGGCAGCAGUGGGGAAUAUUGGACAAUGGGGGCAACCCUGAUCCAGCCAUGCCGCGUGAGUGAUGAAGGCCUUAGGGUUGUAAAGCUCUUUUACCCGGGACGAUAAUGACUGUACCGGGAGAAUAAGCCCCGGCUAACUUCGUGCCAGCCGCCGCAGUAA